UCGGGAAUAUUGCGCAAUGGAGGAAACUCUGACGCAGUGACGCCGCGUGCAGGAAGAAGGUUUUAGGAUUGUAAACUGCUUUAGACAGGGAAGAAAAAAAUGACAGUACCUGUAGAAUAAGCUCCGGCUAACUACGUGCCAGCAGCCGCGGUAAUACGUAGGGAGCGAGCGUUAUCCGGAAUUACUGGGCGUAAAGCGCACGCAGGCGGCGUGACGCGUCAGAAGUGAAAUCCCCGGGCUCAACCUGGGAACUGCUUUUGAAACGGUCAUGCUUGAAUCAUGGAGAGGGUAGCGGAAUUCCGAGUGUAGAGGUGAAAUUCGUAGAUAUUCGGAAGAACACCGGUGGCGAAGGCGGCUACCUGGCCAUGUAUUGACGCUCAGGUGCGAAAGCGUGGGGAACAAACA
rnacentral:rRNA from 1 species